UUCCAGACUCCUACGGGAGGCAGCAGUGGGGAAUAUUGCACAAUGGGGGAAACCCUGACGCAGCGACGCCGCGUGAGUGAAGAAGUAUUUCGGUAUGUAAAGCUCUCUCAGCAGGGAAGAAAAUGACGGUACCUGAUUAAGAAGCCCCGGCUAACUACGUGCCAGCAGCCGCGGUAAUACGUAGGGGGCAAGCGUUAUCCGGAUUUACUGGGUGUAAAGGGAGCGUAGACGGUGAUGCAAGUCAGAAGUGAAAGCCCGGGGCUCAACUCCGGGACUGCUUUUGAAACUGUGUGACUGGAGUGCAGGAGAGGUAAGCGGAAUUCCUGGUGUAGCGGUGAAAUGCGUAGAUAUCAGGAGGAACACCAGUGGCGAAGGCGGCUUACUGGACUGUAACUGACGUUGAGGCUCGAAAGCGUGGGGAGCAAACAGGAUUAGAUACCCGCGUA
rnacentral:rRNA from 1 species